rnacentral:tRNA from 1 species
AGAAAUAAGUAAUACAAAAAUAAGCUUCUAACUUAAUUUUUAAGCGGUGAAUUUCCGUUUUUAUUUC